GAUGAAGAACGCAGCGAAAUGCGAUAAGUAAUGCGAAUUGCAGAAUCCGUGAGUCAUCGAAUCUUUGAACGCACAUUGCGCCCUCUGGUAUUCCGGAGGGCAUGCCUGUUCGAGCGUCAUUAUCACCCCCCAAGCCCGGCUUGUUGUUGGAUGCAGCGCUUAUUCCGCUCCUCCCAAAGAUAAUGACGGCGUCUGCGACGACUCCUGUACACUGAGCUUUCGGGCACGUACACGGCUAGAAGUCCAGACCCGGUCGCCGUCCCACCCCGCGGGGACACCCAUUACCACAAGGUUGACCUCGGAUCAGGUAGGAAUACCCGCUGAACUUAAGCAUAUCAAUAAGCGGAGGA
rnacentral:misc_RNA from 1 species